UUCAAUUUCAAAAAUAGAGGACUUUCUCUUUUUUUCAUGUUCACUCUCAUUUCUGUUCUCAACUCUCUUCUCAGUCCUCACGUUUUUCUUCUUUCUUUUUUUUUUGGUUCAGGAACUCUUCCUAAAGAAGUUUUGGAGAACCGAACAUCCCAACAUCAUCAAGAAUUGAAUUAUGUAAGGGUUUAAGUGUUAGUGUCUCUUGGAGAAGAGGAAGAGUUAGUAAGAAGUCUUGGAACGUCAUUGAGCUACAAGCAUGUAUCGUUGAACUCGAGUUGCACAAAACCUCAAACAGAGGCCAUUGUCAUAGACAACAUUAAGCGGUAGCACUUACCGCUAAGUGCAGACUCAACAAGAAGCCCCUGAAAGAUUGGAGUUGGGCGACACCUUAUUGCUACUAGGUGGUGAUGAAGUCAAAGAGACCAUGUUGCUCUAGCAUUGAAUGUGUCUUCUAGCACUAAGCAGUGACCCGUUGAAUGUUUUAUUCUAUGUGAUUUGUUGAGGAUCUAUGGUCCUUUUCACUUUCUAAGGGAUCUAGGUAGAAGAUGCUUGAGACUUGUAUGACUUAGUAGUAUUCCAUAUUGAUGAAUUGUAGUUAGUUCCACGAGUGAUGAUAUGUGUGUGGAUAUUGCUAAGUAUUCUUUGAUUAUAUAUAUGAUGCGUGAAAUGGUUAGUUAAUUAUGAAUUACGAUAAAGAACAAUGUAAUUUUAUAAUAAGGGUGAUGAUUUGAGUUACAUGAAAAUUGUGAUAGA